UACGUAGGGGGCAAGCGUUGUCCGGAAUUAUUGGGCGUAAAGGGAGCGUAGGCGGCGGCGCAAGUCUCAUGUGAAAUACCCGGGCUUAACCCGGGGGUUGCAAGAGAAACUGCGUUGCUAGAGUACAGGAGAGGCAAGUGGAAUUCCUAGUGUAGCGGUGAAAUGCAUAGAUAUUAGGAGGAACACCAGUGGCGAAGGCGACUUGCUGGACUGAAACUGACGCUGAGGCUCGAAAGCGUGGGGAGCAAACAGG
rnacentral:rRNA from 1 species